GACGAACCGUGCGAACGUUAUUCGGAAUCACUGGGCUUAAAGGGCGCGUAGGCGGGCGGCCAAGUCAGGGGUGAAAGCCCCCAGCUCAACUGGGGAAGUGCCUUUGAUACUGGUUGUCUCGAGGGAGGUAGGGGCGUGCGGAACUUCCGGUGGAGCGGUGAAAUGCGUAGAUAUCGGAAGGAACGCCGGUGGCGAAAGCGGCGCGCUGGACCUCUUCUGACGCUGAGGCGCGAAAGCUAGGGGAGCAAACGGG
rnacentral:rRNA from 1 species